GUAAAUUGCUAUGUGUUGGUGUAUGAUCUUAUAGAAUACCACUAGUCUUGUUUGUAUUCGUCUCAAUUCUAAUGUAGGCCACUGUAGGUGAUCAAGCAUAUUUAAGACAGAGCUGGUAUUUGUGAUAUACCGGUUCUCCGGUUUACAAUCAACAGUCAAAUAGUUUUUUUGUGAAAAAUUUGCACACACAUCUUCCUGUUUUUGGCCAAUU
rnacentral:lncRNA from 1 species